rnacentral:rRNA from 1 species
CGGAGGGGCGUAGCGUUGUUCGGAAUUAACUGGGCGUAAAAGCGCACGUAGGCGGACCAGAAAGUUAGGGGGUGGAAAUACCCGGGGCGUCAAACCUCGGAACUGCCUUCAAAACUAAUUGGUCUGGAGUUCGAGAGAGGUGAGUGGAAUUCCGAGUGUAGAGGUGAAAUUACGUAGAUAUUCGGAGGAACACCAGUGGCGAAGGCGGCUCACUGGCUCGAUACUGACGCUGAGGUGCGAAAGCGUGGGGGAGCAAACAGGAUU